rnacentral:rRNA from 1 species
UACGAAGGGGGCUAGCGUUGUUCGGAAUUACUGGGCGUAAAGGGCGUGUAGGCGGCCCGUUAAGUCAGGUGUGAAAUUCCUGGGCUCAACCCAGGACGUGCGCCUGAUACUGGCGGGCUUGAGUCCGGGAGAGGAUGGUGGUACUCCCAGUGUAGAGGUGAAAUUCGUAGAUAUUGGGAAGAACACCCGUGGCGAAGGCGGCCAUCUGGACCGGUACUGACGCUAAGGCGCGACAGCGUGGGGAGCAAACAGG